rnacentral:rRNA from 1 species
UGGGGAAUUUUGGACAAUGGGCGCAAGCCUGAUCCAGCAAUGCCGCGUGCAGGAUGAAGGCCUUCGGGUUGUAAACUGCUUUUGUACGGAACGAAACGGCGAGCUCUAAUACAGUUUGCUAAUGACGGUACCGUAAGAAUAAGCACCGGCUAACUACGUGCCAGCAGCCGCGGUAAUACGUAGGGUGCAAGAGUUAAUCGGAAUUACUGGGCGUAAAGCGUGCGCAGGCGGUUAUGUAAGACAGAUGUGAAAUCCCCGGGCUUAACCUGGGAACUGCAUUUGUGACUGCAUAGCUAGAGUACGGUAGAGGGGGAUGGAAUUCCGCGUGUAGCAGUGAAAUGCGUAGAUAUGCGGAGGAACACCGAUGGCGAAGGCAAUCCCCUGGACCUGUACUGACGCUCAUGCACGAAAGCGUGGGGAGCAAACA